AACGUAGGAGGCAAGCGUUAUCCGGAUUUACUGGGCGUAAAGCGCAUGCAGGUGGUUUUGUAAGUUGGAUGUGAAAGCUCCUGGCUUAACUGGGAGAGGUCGUUCAAAACUACAAGACUUGAGAUUGGUAGAGGAAAAUGGAAUUCCGGGUGUAGUGGUGAAAUGCGUAGAUAUCCGGAGGAACACCAGUGGCGAAAGCGGUUUUCUGGACCAAUUCUGACACUCAGAUGCGAAAGCUAAGGUAGCAAAC
rnacentral:rRNA from 1 species